GACAGAGGGUGCAAACGUUGUUCGGAAUUACUGGGCGUAAAGCGAGUGUAGGCGGUCCGAUAAGUCGGGUGUGAAAGCCCUGGGCUCAACCCAGGAAGUGCACUCGAAACUGCCGGGCUAGAGUAUCGGAGAGGUUGGUGGAAUUCUCGGUGUAGAGGUGAAAUUCGUAGAUAUCGAGAGGAACACCGGUGGCGAAGGCGGCCAACUGGACGACAACUGACGCUGAGGCGCGAAAGCACGGGGAUCAAACAGG
rnacentral:rRNA from 1 species